rnacentral:rRNA from 1 species
UACGUAGGGCGCAAGCGUUGUCCGGAAUUAUUGGGCGUAAAGAGCUCGUAGGCGGCCUGUUACGUCUGCUGUGAAAUCCCGGGGCUUAACCCCGGGCGUGCAGUGGAUACGGGCAGGCUGGAGGCAGGCAGGGGAGAACGGAAUUCCCGGUGUAGCGGUGAAAUGCGCAGAUAUCGGGAGGAACACCGGUGGCGAAGGCGGGUCUCUGGGCAGUAACUGACGCUGAGGAGCGAAAGCGUGGGGAGCGAACAGG